rnacentral:rRNA from 1 species
CCCUUCGGUGCCGUAGCUAACGCGUUAAGUAUCCCGCCUGGGGAGUACGAUCGCAAGGUUGAAACUCAAAGGAAUUGACGGGGGCCCGCACAAGCGGUGGAGCAUGUGGUUUAAUUCGGUGCAACGCGAAGAACCUUACCUGGGCUUGAACUGUACAUGCUCGCUAUAGAGAUAUAGUUUUUCCUUCACGGGAACAUGUAUAGAGGUGCUGCAUGGCUGUCGUCAGCUCGUGUCGUGAGAUGUUGGGUUAAGUCCCGCAACGAGCGCAACCCUUAUCGCUAAUUACCAUCGAGUAAUGUCGGGGACUUUAGCGAGACUGCCCGGGUUAACCGGGAGGAAGGUGGGGAUGACGUCAAGUCCUCAUGGCCCUUAUGUCCAGGGCUACACACGUGCUACAAUGGUCGGUACAAAGUGUCGCUACAAUGUGAGUUGAUGCUAAUCACUAAACCCGAUCUCAGUUCGGAUUGCAGUCUGCAACUCGACUGCAUGAAGUUGGAAUCGCUAGUAAUCGUGGAUCAGCAUGCCACGGUGAAUACGUUCCCGGGCCUUGUACACACCGCCCGUCACACCAUGGAAGUCUAUAGUGCUCGAAAUGACUGAUCUAACCUUCGGGAAGAAGGUCACUAAGGCAAGAUCGAUAACUGGGGUGAAGUCGUAACAAGGUAGCCG